GGUAAUACGGAGGGUGCAAGCGUUAUCCGGAAUCAUUGGGUUUAAAGGGUCCGCAGGCGGGCAUAUAAGUCAGUGGUGAAAKCCCAUCGCUUAACSAUGGAACUGCCAUUGAUACUGUAUGCCUUGAAUUCGGUCGAAGUGGGCGGAAUAUGACAUGUAGCGGUGAAAUGCUUAGAUAUGUCAUAGAACACCGAUAGCGAAGGCAGCUCACUAGGCCUGGAUUGACGCUCAGGGACGAAAGCGUGGGKAGCAAACAGGAUUAGAUACCCUGGUAGUCCACGCCGUAAACGAUGAUUACUCGAUAUUAGCGAUAUACAGUUAGUGUCUAAGCGAAAGUGAUAAGUAAUCCACCUGGGGAGUACGAUCGCAAGGUUGAAACUCAAAGG
rnacentral:rRNA from 1 species